rnacentral:rRNA from 1 species
GCAAGUCGAACGGAAACGCGAAGAGCUUGCUCUUUGGUGGCGAGUGGCGGACGGGUGAGUAACACUUAGGAAUCUAUCCAGUAGCUGGGGAUAACGUGGGGAAACUCACGCUAAUACCGAAUACGCACUACGGUGGAAAGAGGGGGAUCUUCGGACCUCUCACUAUUGGGUGAGCCUAAGCCGGAUUAGCUAGUUGGUGGGGUAAAGGCCUACCAAGGCGACGAUCCGUAGCUGGUCUGAGAGGACGAUC